rnacentral:lncRNA from 1 species
GUCAGCUGUUUUUUCUGCACUAUUGUGAUAAUCAUAUAGCUUUUAUCCUUUAUUCUGUGAAUGUGGUGAAGUACGUUGAUUGAUUCUUUAAAAAAUGCUUAUAACAGCCAUUGAUUGAUUUUUGAAUGUUAACUUUCCAUUCCUGAAGCAAAUCUGAAUUGGUUGCAUUGUAUUUUCUUUUUAAUAUUAUUGCUGAGUUUGCUUUGUUACUAUUUUGUUUAGAAUCCUUUGCAUCUAUGUUCAUAAACAAAAUGGGCCUUAAUUUAAAAAAAGAAACUUUAACCCUCAAACUGAAGAUAUUAUUAGGAAGCGGGGCUUUUGGAAGGUGAUUAAGUCAUGAAAGUGCCUUUAUAACUAGGAUUAACACUGUUAUAAAGGGAACUCCAAAGAGAUUCUUCACCUUUCUGCCAUGUGAGGACAUAUUGAGAAGACAACUGUCUAUAAACCAGUGGGCCUUCUGCAAACACUAAGUUGGCUGGCACUUUGAUGUAGGAUUUCACUUCCAGAACUGUAAAAAAAUUUCAAUUCCUUAUAAGCCACCUAAUCUAUGGCAGUUUGUUACAGCAGCCAAAACAGACAAAGAUGCUUAAUACCUUUUAUUUUUACUUUGUUGUUUUCCUUUAACCAUUAUUUUUUUACUUCCAAUAGUUUUGUGUUUAUUAAGUUUUCUGUUUGUAUAUAUUGAAUGUGUUCAUUUUGGGUUAGGAAGAAGACACAGGGCAUUCUUCAUGGCUUAAAUACUACAUCCUUUAUUCUGAAUAUUAUAAGAUCAUACCACAGAAAGUACCUAUGGCCAAGAGCACAUUUAGUGUGGUUUACAGUCCUCCAACAAGCAUUUGGGGUUUAAAAGAUUCUUGUGCUUAAUCAAUUGGAUUUUCUUUUGUGGUCUCAUUAUAAUUUGACAUUUUUCCAUAUUUUUCUUCUUUGUUUAUGUCCUUUUGUCAUUAUAUCCUCCCACAUUUCUUCUCCUUUCCAAAGACAGCCAUUUUAGUGUGUAUAUUGGGUAUAUUUUUGUGGUUUGUGUGUUUGUGUGUGUGUGUGUGUGUGUGUGUGUGUGUGUGUUGUUUCAAUUGUAUAUUGUUAUUCUGUGCUCUACACUUACUAAUUAUCUCAGAUAACCAGGUAUAGCAUUGGGUCUUCUGCCAAUAUUGCCAUGCUUCUUCUAACCCCAACACCAGCACUGAAUCUCACAAAAUGGGAAUCAAACAUGCAAUUUUAUGCCAUUAAUGUUUCUCACUUUCAGCUAUUAUUUGACACUCCCUUGAUAACUUCCCAGUUCAAUCUGUGAUUCCCUAACUUUUCAAAAUGCAGCAGUCUUCAGUCUCCUCCUAGUUCUAAUUCCUGUCUAUGGUUUCCUCUAAUUAUUUCUAUUAUGUGAGUUACAGCAGGUUGAAGCAUCUAUUUCACAGAUCUAAGUAUGCUUGCAAACCUUUAAUAUUUCUUUGUUAGCUAUCUUAUUUCAAAAAAAAAUCUGGCUUCAACCAAAAUUUGCCAAAAAUAUGAUCUUCUAAAAUAUCUUAGUUUAGGCCAGGUGCUGUGGCUCAUGCCUGUAAUCCCAGCACUUUAGGAGGCCAAUGUAGACGGAUCACAAAGUCAGGAGUGUGAGGCCAGCCUGGCCAACAUAGUGAAACCCCAUGGUGGCGGGCGCCUGUAAUCCCAGCUACUCAGGAGGCUGAGGCAGGAGAAUUGCUUGAACCUGGUAGGCAGAGGGUACAGUGAGUCAAGAUCGUGCCACCGCACUCCACACUCCAGCCCGGGUGACAGAGUGAGGCUCUGUCUCAAAAAAAAAAAAAAAAAAAAAAAUCUUACUUUAUAUUACCCAAAUGUACCCCUGGCUGUUUAGUUUCCAUGUCUUUGUUUAUGUGAUCUUGUUUGCUUGACACGUCCUCGCUUAGUCUCUGAAGUAUGCAUCCUUCUUAUACUCCCAAGUUUUCCUCAUAAUCCUUCCUUAUUAAUGCUUGCCCUCAUUUAUCUCCUAGAUGUUUCUCUUUCUCGCUCUCUCUCUCUUUCUCUCUACCCAUCUCUUAUAUUUCCAGUGCUCGCUUUUACUCUUAGGUAGCCCAGAGCACACUCUGCCUUGCAUCAUAUUGGCCAAUGCAAUGAGCACAUAAGCUCCUUGAGGGUUAACAUGCAAUUCCUUAUGCAAUAUAUUCUCCACAGAAUCUUGUACAGGGCUCUAGAAAUAUUAAAUGUUGAAUAAAUUACUGCCGCGUUGCAUUUAAAAUGUAAACUCUUGCACUGAACGAAGUUUGAAAAGAGUUAGAAAUUGUGAAAUCGAGUU